UAAACGACUCUCGGCAACGGANNUCUCGGCUCUCGCAUCGAUGAAGNACGUAGCGAAAUGCGAUACUUGGUGUGAAUUGCAGAAUCCCGUGAACCAUCGAGUCUUUGAACGCAAGUUGCGCCCGAAGCCAUUAGGCCGAGGGCACGUCUGCCUGGGCGUCACAC
rnacentral:rRNA from 1 species